rnacentral:lncRNA from 1 species
AGGGAGGACAAGAAGCCCUUUCUGGUUGUGCAGCCCAGGACAAAUCCCUACAGCCUUCUGAGAAGCUCUGGCAGUAACCUGGGGCUGUCAGACAGAGGACUGGUAUUCUUUCCUCCAUCUCGCCAAUGAAGAAACUGAGGCCCAGGGAAAAGAAGUAAUUUGCCCAAGGUCGAACACCUGGUUGGAGUGCAGUGGUGCCAUCUCCCUUCACGACGAACUCCACCCCCCAUCCCCAGGAUCAAGCGAUCCUCCCACCUCAGCCUCCCAGAGCUGGGACCACAGACGCGUGCCACCACGCCCAGGUACAGCGCAGUCAGCAGGAAGCAGCCACCCCCCAGGGCGAUGACAAAGGCGCAGCACAGGAAGCUCUGCUGCAGGCUGAGGAAGCGCUGCAGGUAGGAGUCAGGGCGCCUGGCCCGCAGGACACUAGAGAUCUGCAGAGGAGCAGGGGUGGGUCUGCCAGGCCCACCAGGCUGGCCCCCAGGCCCUCCCCACCCCACACACGCAGACACGUCUUACAAGUCCUGUGAGAUAGGGGCUGCCAGCGUCUCCCAGGAUGUGGCCCACCGUGAUCUGAAGUGCCUCUGCUGUCCCCCGGCAUCUGGGCACCACCACAGACUGCAAAACAUAGGCACAGCAGGGGGGCACCCCAAGUGAGGGCACCCUUGCCUGCUGUUCCCCACCUGCCAAGGACCUGCCUGGAGGAGUGACAGGCCAUUCAGGUGAGUGGGAUGGGAGGGAGUCGACGGUCCCCAAGGUCUGAAGUCCCACCCCAGAACAUCAAGCCCAUCUGAAGCUUCCCCAGUGCCCCAGGAUGGGGGUGCCAAGGCCUCUGAUCAGGGCCACCCCUCUUGAGAGUUUGCUCUUGAACUGGGAAGGAACCAAGCAUGCAUGUGACCACAGUGAAUGAGGCUGGGGUGUCCCAGCUCAGGGGCCCACGAUGCAGCAGCGCAAGCGGGCAGGGCGAAGAGCGGGUGCAUGCCAGGUGUCUGCAAUUGGGCAAGGGUGGUACGGAGGGCUCAGUCCUCUCAGGAACCUCAAGGCCCCUGGGGCAGAGACCAAAGGCAGCCUUGCUGGAGAAGCCCACACGACUCCACGGACAAGGCUGAGAACAUUAAGAAGAUGAACUCUGGGCCAGGCGCGGUGGCUCACGUCUGUAAUCCCAGCACUUUGGGAGGCCGAGGCGGGUGGAUCACCCGAGGUCAAGAGGUCAAGACCAGCCUGGCAACAUGGUGAAACCCUGUCUCUACUAAAAAUACAAAAACUAGCCGGCGUGGUGGCACAUGCCUGUAAUCCCAGCUACUCGGGAGGUUGAGGCAGGAGAAUUGCUUGAACACAGGAGGCAGAGGUUGCAGUGAGCUGAGAUCGUACCACUGCAAUCCAACCUGGGCAACAAGAGCAAAAUCCCAUCUCAAAAAAAAAAAAAAAAAGAAAGAACUCUGGUGUCACACUCUCGGGUUCCGAUCCAGAUCCCCACUCGCUAGCUGUGUGACUUUGAGCAAACUGCUUCACCUUUCUUCCCUCAGUCUCUCCAUCCCCAAAUGGGGGUAAUAAUGGUACUGAUCUUGAGAGUUUUAUUCAUUAUCGUUAUUCGUCUGCUACCUGGAGGCUUCGUGUGGACAUCAGACCAAAAUAACGCUCUGAGACAGAAUGCUCCAGGCCCUUGAACUCAGCUGCGCCUUCUGCCUGGUGUGCCUUCCACUCUCUGGUCCAGCUGGAGCAUCUAUAUUUGUCAUUUAGGACUUACAUUUUGGUCAUCUCCUCUGUGAAGCCCUCUCAGAGUUCAGGUACCUGCCCUGAGCUCCCGCAACUCCUAUGCACACCCCUAAUUAACGCAUGUCUCCCAGAACUGGGAGGGGCCCUUUCUCUGUCCACCACCCCUUAUUCCCUAUGUUGUGUGGGCAACAAAGACCCUUAAUUUCUCUUGGGGUCCCUGCAAGACACCAGGCACAGAGGGGACUAGCUGAAAGUUUGCCAACCAAAUAACUCAAGUAGGUCCAUCUGGGAGACUAUUCCCAGGAGAAAGUCUGCCAGAACCCAGGGCUACAGCAGGGGAUGGAAGGAGGGAGGGGGAGGGGACUCAAGCAGAGACCACAUGGUCACAUGAACCCAACUGGACAGCCACAGGGGCGCUUACACCCUGGAGCCUUAUCCCCAAGACCUAGGUGUCCGUGAUCUGAGGCCUUGAGUUAAUCAAUAUUAGCUGGGCACAGUGGCUCACGCCUGUAAUCCCAGCACUUUGGGAGACUGAGGCAGGUGGAUCACUUGAGGUCAGGAGUUCAAGACCAGCCUGGCCAACAUGGCGAAAUCCCAUCUCUACUAAAAAUACAAAAAUUAGCUGGGUGUGGUGGCAGGUGCCUAUAAUCCCAGCUACUCGGGAGGCUGAGGCAGGAGAAUCGCUUGAACCUGGGAGGUGGAGGUUCUAGUGAGCUGAGGUGGCACCACUAUACUCC